rnacentral:rRNA from 1 species
CCUACGGGUGGCAGCAGUGGGGAAUAUUGCUCAAUGGGGGAAACCCUGAUGCAGCGACGCCGCGUGAAGGAAGAAGUAUUUCGGUAUGUAAACUUCUAUCUGCAGGGAAGAAAAUGACGGUACCUGACUAAGAAGCCCCGGCUAACUACGUGCCAGCAGCCGCGGUACUACGUAGGGGGCCAGCGUUAUCCGGAUUUACUGGGUGUAAAGGGAGCGUAGGCGGUGUAGCAAGUCAGUAGUGAAAGCCCGGGGCUCAACCCCGGGACUGCUGUUGAAACUGGUGAACUAGAUUGCAGGAGAGGUAAGUGGAAUUCCGAGUGUAGCGGUGAAAUGCGUAGAUAUUAGGAGGAACACCAGUGGCGAAGGCAGCUUACUGGACUGUAAAUGACGCUGAGGCUCGAAAGCGUGGGGAGCAAACAGGAUUAGAUACCCGGGUAGUC